UCGGAUAUGGUGUAACAGCGAACAUUGCCGCCCUCAUUGGUUUCCCUUCCCUAAAGUGUGCGCGGCAGCUCGGGGUUCAAUUCCCCGUAUCCGAA